rnacentral:rRNA from 1 species
UACGUAGGUGGUGAGCGUUACUCGGAUUUACUAGGUGUAAAGGGCAGGUAGGUGGCUUGGAAAGUUGAAAGUGAAAGCCCCGAUGAAAUCGGGGAGGUCUUUCAAAACUUCCAGGCUUGAGUAUGGUAUGGGGAACCAGAAUUCCAGGUGUAGCGGUGAAAUGCGUAGAUAUCUGGAGGAAUACCGAUGGCGAAAGCGGGUUCCUGGGCCAUUACUGACACUGAGCUGCGAAAGCGUGGGGAGCA